GGAUCUUUCUCUGGAGAUUGCUCCUCUUGGUGUCUUUUUGAGUAGAUGGAUGUACAGAACUUUGAAAGACAGGAAGAACAGAGCAAAGCACCCACCUGCCCAGCCUCCCACCAGUAAUCCUUGCUGAUGCAACUGGGAAUGUCACAGCUGCCCUGGUUCUGUCCCUUCACUGCUCCUUGUGCUCCAUAGUCCUUCACUGGCAGAACAGUAUGAGAAGCUGAGAAACUGCAGUGUCCUUGGCUAUGUACAGCACUGUUCAGCAGUGAGUAGAAACAUCAUCAUGUCAUCAACACUUUUGUUCUUCCAAAGCCAAAACAUAGCGUCAUACCGGACACUGUGAAGGACAUCAGCUCUGUCCUAGCUGAUACCAGGUUGCAUAAAUACGAUGAACUGGAGCUGACUUAGUCCAAAUAUCAGCAACUAAUAUACUGUAUGCUGGUAUCAAACUUUAAUACUGUGCAUAUAAGGACUUCCAGCAGUAGUAUCACUUCAUGUAUUAAAAGCACUGUGUUCUCUUUCUAUCUUGUGUCUCUCCAUGUUGUUCUAUUUGAUGGCCUCAAAGCCUAUGUCCUCUCAAGUCACAUCUGAUUGCCUUGCCUGCUUAGGGUGGCCCAUAGGUUCAUGUCUUGUGCUUCAGAAUUUAUAAUUAAACUAUUUGUCAGUGUCUGAAAAAUUUCCCUUGUGCGACUGUGCUGCUCCAAAAUGAACUGAAUAAUCCAGUCUGAGGCAGCAGAGGAGAAAUGGGCACCCCUUCUUCUUGCCUGGGACAGCGUCUAACAUCUGGAAUCAACCACCAUACCAACACUACCUCCGGAAGGUGUGUGGUGAGACAAACAAAUCACAAGCAGGAGAUACAGUUCAGCUCUGGAGAAAAGCAUAUGGAAGCUCUGAAGUGUUCCAGAAAAACUGCACGGAGAUGUCACUUUGCAUUUUCCCUUCCCUUAGGCAGAUGGAUGGUCUCGCUCUGCACCUUCUGAGUGAUGGAGCUUGGCAGUGUAGAAACUGAGUGCUGACUCUGCCCUGCUCACCUCACCUGCACCACACCACGUGCUUUGCAUCAGCAUGGCUCAGAGGAUUGUGCAGGAGUAGUCUGUUACAGCUCAAAGUCUUUUUGGUACACAAGCUGUGUAGUUUGAUGUAAACAGCCACAUUCUUGCUUUUAACAUAGCUUCACUGCUGCUGUUCUGAAGGCAAACCACCUCAGCUAAUGUGGGGACUUACUCUAUGCCCUGUAGCCAUCAUCUUUUCAGACAUGCUACAGGGUUCCUAGCCUGGGGCUGCGGAUCCCUUUAUGCAACAAGGGAAGUGCUCCUAGGAGUGCAUAAUCCACCCUGGAUUUUGCUCUCUAAGCUCCCAGCUGAAAAAGGAAUCUACGUAAUAGGCAUGUUGUAAAAAUAUCUGCUCUAGAUAUAUAUCAUUCCAAUACUAUGGCAAACUUGAACAAGCAGAAGCAGUGCUGCUCCUUGUUUUGUUCAGAUGCUGCUUAAGUCCUGACUUAUCUUCAUGUUGACAUGCAGGAUCACAUACUAGCUUUAAGCUUUUAAGAGAGUGUUUACUAGCUAAUCUCACUGCUGCUUGGCAUCUUUCUUUCCCCAGA